CUAAGUCUUUGCAACCCCAUGGGCUGCAGCACGCCAGGCCUCCCUCUCCAUCCCCAUCUCCCAGAGUUUGCUCAAACCCAUGUCCAUUGAGUUGGUGAUGCCAUCCAACUACUUCAUCCUCUGCCGUCCCCUUCUCCUCCUGCCCUCAAUCUUUCCCAGCAUCAGGGUCUUUUCCAGAGUUGGUGCUUCAUCCCAGGUGGCCAAAAGCUCAUUAUGGCCUGGAAUUAUCCUGAUUUUUUGACCCCAUGAAGGCUUUUGCGCGUGUGUGGUGCUGGAGAAGACUCUUGAGAGUCCCUUGGGCAACAUGGAGAUCAAACCACUCAGUCCUAAAGAAAAUCAUUAGAAGGGCUGAUGCUGAAGCUGAAGCUCCAAUACGUUGGCCACCUGAUGAGCCAACUCAUUCGGAAAAACCCUCAUGCUGGGAAAGAUCGAGGGCACAAGGAGAAGGGUUGCAGAGGAUGAGACGGUUAGAUAGCAUCACCGACUCAAUGGACAUGAAUUUGAGCAGACUCAGGAGGACAGAGGAGCCCGGUAUGCUGCAGCCCACGGGGUUGCAAAGAGUCAGAUACAACUCAGCAACUGAACAACAUUGUCUCCCUUGCCCCACGGAUGGGAGGUGAGUGAUCUCGUGAUCUUUUUAGAGUGUUUAGUCCAAGUCUGUUCCUGCCGUAAAAAUGCCCAAUGUCUGGUGAUUUACCCUAUUCCCAUUGCUGGUUUUUAUGCCAAGGUGUAGAUCUUGAAACACAGACGGGGGUCCAGUCAUGAAUGUAUAGUCCCGGAGCCCCCUGGUCUCUUGCUUCAGGAAAUGUAAAUGGGGGCUGGGGAUGAAUGCAAGGUCCCAGGAGGCGUGAGCAGGAGGUCAGUUGUUAAUGCGUAGCCUGGGGCCAUCUCCUGCCCCAAGAGCACUCCAGUCACCAUCCGUAAUAUAAUAUUUUCUCAAUUUAUUGUCUAAUCCAAAAGUGAAAAGAUUUCACCUUAUUCUUAUCUCUUCCCCCUGCUGUGACAUCUAUUGUGUUCUGUCAGCGUUUAAAUUAAUUUCCAGGUUACAAGAGCUUCCCUGGUGACUCAGAGGAUAAAGCGUCUGUCUGCAGUGCAGACCUGGGUUCGAUCCCUGGGUCAGAAAGAUCCCCUGGAGGAGGAAAUGGCAACCCACUCCAGUACUCUUGCCUGGACAAUCCCAUGCGUGGAGGAGCCUGGUGCAGGCUACAGUCCACGGGGUCGCAAAGAGUCGGACACGACUGAGUGGCUUCACUUUCAUUUUUCCUUUACUUUCCAGGUUACAAGCUAUAAAGACAAUGUAGUGGUUGAACCUGGAGUCAUUUAGGGAGGAAAGGAAUGACUCGGAAGACUUACUUCCCCAAGGGAGAGAGGGUGAGUGUGUUCCCAUUCAAAUGAGGGAUGGUUGUAUUAUGUGAAGCAGGAAGAUGUUUCUGCUGUCGUGAGGAAUUCAACUUUCUGAAGACCUCCAUCUCCAUGGGUGGACUGUCCAUGGCAGAGGGCUCCCUUGCUUUUGCUAAGCAGACAUGUGUGAGACUUGGAGUAACAUACUGCCUGGCAGUGAGCAGCAAAAAUGCGUGCAGACUUCCCCGAUGGUUUGGAGGCAAAGACUCCACACUCCCAAUGCAGGCGGCCCGGGGUUGACCCCUGGACAGGGAACUAGACCCCAGAUGCCACAACUAAGCCCCAAACAAAUAAAUGCUGAAAAAAAAUACAUGCAAUUCAUGGACAGACUGGUUCCAGGUAUCAACUGAAAAAGAUGUACAAGGGCGUGGAAAUUGGAUUGUGACACACCCCCGUUUAGCGGCUUUCCUUGGUUUGGGGAAAUGGUGAAAAGCGACAGUUGCUCAGUCGUGCCUGUUUCUUUGUGACCCCAU
ensembl:lncRNA